CCAAGAUCUUGGAACAUCUGGGCUCCCAAGGUCCCUAGAGAGGAAGUGAAAAGGGUGGGGACCCCUUACACAUAUAGGUGCAGCCACACAACCAGGACAUGGGGUGAGAACAAGUCCUAACGAUGAAGGGUGCACAAGAUGACAGGGAACACUAGGGAGGCGGCCCCUGAAUGUGGGCCUCCCGCCUCCACUCCCAAGUUCUAACCCAAUCAAGUGACUAUUAUAAAACUUAGGUAUUUCUAUGUAUUUAUAUAUGUACAUGUCACCUACAAUUUGGAUGGUUUUCAGGGGUCCACUUUUCCUCAAGCCUGUCUGGCUGAUGCUUUUCUGUAGAAGGAAAGGACUUGCCUCUACCAAACAGUGAUGAACACUGUAGGGGGCCAGGGAUGUAGCUCAGUGGCACGGCGCCUGCCUGGCAAGUACAAGGUCCUGAGUCCAAUUCCUGGUGCUGGGGGGAAAAAAACAUUGUAGGAAACUAGGCCAGGGCUCACCACUGCCAUAGAGAAUGUGGAGAUACUAUCCCCGGGAAAAGGUCCUACAAUAUUCAGUCUAGUGGAGAAAAGAUGAGGCCAACUUAGAGGAGGGGGGAGAGAAACAGAAAGGAGAUUGAGUCUGUGCUAGCAGACAAGUUACAUUUUCAACAACAGAGCAUCAUGGAACAAAUACGGCCAGGGAAGGAGUCAAUGCAGAAGUUAAUGCUUCUUCUAGUGCAGAAGCCAGCCCUGCCCACAGAAGUGGCAGCCUCCCUCCCGAGAUGGCAGAUAUGAAGCCACAGCACUAAUGCCAGGUCCGUCCUGAGCAGCAUUCAAAGCUGCCAUCCACUCUCAGCUGGGAUGAGAAGUGAUGGAGCCAUGGUGUCACUAUUCCCUCCCACAUUUCCCUAAAGCGAAAUACAAAGUGAGGAAAAUCUAAAGGAACCACAGCCAUGAAAACUCAAAUGUCCCUCACCAUAUGAAUACAGCAAUUCCUCAAGGACUGAACGAGGACCUAAGCGGACAGCAGAACAAACGAGAAAGGGUGGGGCUGGAGAUUUAGCUCAGUGGUUUCGCCUCCUGCCCCACAAGCACAAAGUCCCGAGUUUGAUCUCUGGUACCAAGAAAAAAAAAAGGUGGCACUGACAAAGGCAGCAGAGAAGCCAGGGAGCCAGGUUGAUUGCCAGCAUGCUCAGGGGAGAUGAGGGGACGCAUCCUGAGGAAGGACCCUCUGAUGUACUGCUACAUCUUCUACUGAGGAGUGUCAUCUUUUCCUUGGAGACAACACUUUUACUGAGGAGUCCCGUGUUUAUUAAAUUAUCAAUCUGCAGGCACAGCUUGAGCAAGAUAAAAAAGGGAUCUUCUUGAGUCAUACAAUCAUCUAGAUUCAAAAGCACUCACAAAAUUGAGCAAACAAAGCCAGCAUUUGCAUAUUAGGGGAAUAUAUUGCUGCUGGGAAGCCAAAGGCCUGGUCAAAAAUAAAUGCUCUAUAUUAAGUAGUAAAAUAACGGAGAAUUCAUCCCCUACACCACCACCUCCACAGAGAUCCAUGGUUAUUGCAGCUGCAAGGGAAGCUAUGGCAAAGUCACCCUGGAACAGAGAGCAGCCUGAGAAGCAGACGCAUUGGCACAUAAUUCAAGGGUUCCCCCAUCCCAAACAGCCUUUGCUCCCUGGAGAUGCACUGGAAGCUCUACCUGCCACUCCAGGAAAGGCAGAAGCAGUAGGGCAGGUGAGCAACAGCUCUUCCCUUUCCAAGACGGAUAGUAAGGCACACAGACACAAGCCUCACUAAGGGAACGAGAAGGGCGAGGUGCAGGACAGGACAGGGCCCGCCUCGAGAGGAAGGGGUGGCUCGCCGGGAAGAGCCUCCAACUGCAAGCCUGUCAUCCUGGGCACGGGAUGCACUGGGAGGUGCAUGGUCCCAUCCCUCCUGUCAGUCUCAGACAGGAGCAGAUGCAUAUGACCACAAGGAUGCUGGGCCCUUCCAAAUGUCCUGUGGGUUGCUGUCAGCUCUGGUCCACACCACCAGCUGAGGUUUCCUGUGGGGCUCGUCGUGAAUGUCCCCAAGGCCCCCACAUCAGGUUGUCUGCAGUGAUGUUGAAGUCCCCUACAUGGCAGGCUCACGGCAGAGCCCCAGGGGCGACAGGGCAGCCGAGUCUGCACAAGGCACUCCUCAGAUCAACAAAUGGUUCCCAGGAAACGACGGCCCCAGGAGGCUGUGGGACAGGCACACUGGUCCUUCUGGUGAGAAACAAGAACCCUGGUGUUCCCUCCGCCACUCUCUGGUGGGGC
rnacentral:lncRNA from 1 species